CCGUUAGUAGCCAAGUUGUUACAGUGGCUGCUUGAUACGUGGUAGAUGGGCGUUCGAUCCCCCGCCGAAGGGG